AACGCACGAGACCUGCGGACCUGCGGAAGGAUCAUUACCGAGUGCGGGCCCUCGCGGCCCAACCUCCCACCCUUGUCUCUAUACACCUGUUGCUUUGGCGGGCCCACCGGGGCCACCUGGUCGCCGGGGGACGUCGUCUCCGGGCCCGCGCCCGCCGAAGCGCUCUGUGAACCCUGAUGAAGAUGGGCUGUCUGAGUACUAUGAAAAUUGUCAAAACUUUCAACAACGGAUCUCUAGAUC
rnacentral:misc_RNA from 1 species